rnacentral:rRNA from 1 species
GAUGAACGCUGGCGGCGUGCUUAACACAUGCAAGUCGAACGAAGCACUUUGAAAGCUUGCUUUCAAAGUGACUGAGUGGCGGACGGGUGAGUAACGCGUGGGUAACCUGCCUUAUACAGGGGGAUAACAGUUGGACACGACUGCUAAUACCGCAUAAGCGCACAGUGCCGCAUGGCACAGUGUGAAAAACUCCGGUGGUAUAAGAUGGACCCGCGUCUGAUUAGCUAGUUGGUGAGGUAACGGCGCCCCAAGGCGACGAUCAGUAGCCGGCUUGAGAGAGUGGUCGGCCACAUUGGGACUGAGACACGGCCCAAACUCCUACGGGAGGCAGCAGUGAGGAAUAUUGCACAAUGGGGGAAACCCUGAUGCAGCAACGCCGCGUGAGUGAAGAAGUAUUUCGGUAUGUAAAGCUCUAUCAGCAGGGAAGAUAAUGACGGUACCUGACUAAGAAGCCCCGGCUAACUACGUGCCAGCCGCCGCCGUAACAC